GAUGAACGCUGACAGAAUGCUUAACACAUGCAAGUCAACUGUGGCGGACGGGUGAGUAACGCGUACAGAACUUGCCUCACAGCUAGGGACCCCAUUUGGAAACGCAUGCUAAUACCUGAUCCUGUGAGAGAGCUUUGCGUCCCCUUAGCUAGUUGGCGAGGUAACGGCUCACCAAGGCGAUGAUGGGUAGCCGGCCUGAGAGGGUGCUCGGCCACAAGGGGACUGAGACACGGCCCUUACUCCUACGGGAGGAAGCAGUGGGGAAUAUUGGACAAUGGACAAAAGUCUGAUCCAGCAAUUCUGUGUGCACGAUGAAGUUUUCGGAAUGUAAAGUGCUUUCAGUUGGGAAGCAGUACCAACAGAAGAAGGGACGGCUAAAUACGUGCCAGCAGCCGCGGUAAUAC
rnacentral:rRNA from 1 species